rnacentral:ncRNA from 1 species
CAUCAAAAACCAAGUCUCUAAGCAAUGGAUGUCUUGGCUCCUCACACGAUGAAGAACGUGGCAUAAUGUGUUAAGUAACCGGAGUUGCAAACAUCAUGACAGGUUAAUCUUUGAAUGCAAAUUGCGCUAAACUCGAUCUCGGUCGAGAAGCAUGGGUGUGACAGUACUACAUCUUUUAUAAUAAUUCUUAUUCUAAGCGAAUAAGUAAAUAAUAUAUAAGACAAACAACACGUAGUCUGCCAUACGCAGGAAGACCCGCUGAACUGAAGCAUCUCAUUAAGCGGAGGAAAAGAAACUAACUAGGAUUCCCUUAGUAAAGGCGAUCGAAAAGGGAACAGCCCAACGUCUUAAUCCCGCAAGGGAAAUGUAGUCGGUUCACCUAUUGCACUGGUCUAAGUCAGAUGGAAUGCUGCGCGAUUCAGAGUAAAAGCCUCGUAUGACCAACCGCAAGCUUACGAUGGACCGGGGAGAGUCGGAUACUUUGAGAGUAGUGUCUUAAGGGGGUGGUAUGUCCCAUCCAAGGCUAAAUAACGUGAGGAGACCGAUAGAUUACAAGUAGUGGAACGAAAGAGAAAAGAA